CGUUCUUCAUUUUUAUUUAGCCCAGAACUUGAAGACCGAAACUGAUCAAAUGGAGAAGGACUGGUUCAGCAAACAACAACUUGGAGAUGGUUGAUCUUCGCCGAGAAGGAAUUUCUCAACACUAGGAAGCUUGCUAUGUCACUUCUCUUUGUGCGAAAUUGGGUAAGGAAGCUUUAUCUGGGCAGGUUCAAUUCUGGCCGAGCCCACUCGAACAUAGCAUGGCUUUGAUUUCUUUCUUCUUUUCAGUUGUCAAGGUAUUUUGGUGAAGACUGAGUUCGCUGGCUCUUUGAUCCGCCUUCAGCAUUUUGGUGCGAAUUUCCUCAAUUCAUCUUGACAUUAAGUUUGUCUUCUUCCAUCAUCA
rnacentral:lncRNA from 1 species